ACUUACUUGGAUAACUGUGGUAAUUCUAGAGCUAAUACAUGCAAACAGAGCUCCGACCGGAGACGGAAGGAGUGCUUUUAUUAGAUCAAAACCAAUCGGUGGCGGGUUCGCUCGUCAUCGUACAACUUGGUGACUCUGAAUAACUUUACGCUGAUCGCACGGUCCUAGCACCGGCGACGCAUCUUUCAAAUGUCUGCCUUAUCAACUGUCGAUGGUAGGUUCUGCGCCUACCAUGGUUGUAACGGGUAACGGGGAAUCAGGGUUCGAUUCCGGAGAGGGAGCCUGAGAAACGGCUACCACAUCCAAGGAAGGCAGCAGGCGCGCAAAUUACCCACUCCCGGCACGGGGAGGUAGUGACGAAAAAUAACGAUACGGGACUCAUCCGAGGCCCCGUAAUCGGAAUGAGUACACUCUAAACCCUUUAACGAGGAUCAAUUGGAGGGCAAGUCUGGUGCCAGCAGCCGCGGUAAUUCCAGCUCCAAUAGCGUAUAUUAAAGUUGUUGCGGUUAAAAAGCUCGUAGUCGAAUUUGUGUCUCGCGCCGCUGGUUCAUCGUCCGCGGUGUUAACUGGCGAGUCGCGAGACGUCCUGCCGGUGGACUUAGCUCGUUCGCGGGCGGUCCAACUCAAUCCUGCCGCGGUGCUCUUCAUUGAGUGUCGAGGUGGGCCGGCACGUUUACUUUGAACAAAUUAGAGUGCUUAAAGCAGGCUAAAACUUCGCCUGAAUACUGUGUGCAUGGAAUAAUGGAAUAGGACCUCGGUUCUAUUUUGUUGGUUUUCGGAACCCCGAGGUAAUGAUUAAUAGGAACGGAUGGGGGCAUUCGUAUUGCGACGUUAGAGGUGAAAUUCUUGGAUCGUCGCAAGACGGACAGAAGCGAAAGCAUUUGCCAAAAACGCUUUCAUUGAUCAAGAACGAAAGUUAGAGGUUCGAAGGCGAUCAGAUACCGCCCUAGUUCUAACUUUAAACGAUGCCAGCUAGCGAUCCGCCGACGUUCCUCCGAUGACUCGGCGGGCAGCUUCCGGGAAACCAAAGCUUUUGGGUUCCGGGGGAAGUAUGGUUGCAAAGCUGAAACUUAAAGGAAUUGACGGAAGGGCACCACCAGGAGUGGAGCCUGCGGCUUAAUUUGACUCAACACGGGAAACCUCACCAGGCCCGGACACCGGAAGGAUUGACAGAUUGAGAGCUCUUUCUUGAUUCGGUGGGUGGUGGUGCAUGGCCGUUCUUAGUUGGUGGAGCGAUUUGUCUGGUUAAUUCCGAUAACGAACGAGACUCUAGCCUGCUAACUAGGCGUAUUUUGACAUCCUAAAGGCCGGCCGGCUUCGGGGUUCGCCUUCGUAGUCGUGCUCGGUUUUUACUGUCGGCGUACAAACAUUUCUUCUUAGAGGGACAGGCGGCUUCUAGCCGCACGAGAUUGAGCAAUAACAGGUCUGUGAUGCCCUUAGAUGUUCUGGGCCGCACGCGCGCUACACUGAAGGAAUCAGCGUGUCCUCCCUGGCCGAGUGGCCCGGGUAACCCGCUGAACCUCCUUCGUGCUAGG
rnacentral:rRNA from 1 species